CCUACGGGUGGCUGCAGUGGGGAAUAUUGCACAAUGGGGGAAACCCUGAUGCAGCGACGCCGCGUGAAGGAAGAAGUAUUUCGGUAUGUAAACUUCUAUCAGCAGGGAAGAAAAUGACGGUACCUGACUAAGAAGCCCCGGCUAACUACGUGCCAGCAGCCGCGGUAAUACGUAGGUGGCAAGCGUUGUCCGGAUUCACUGGGUGUAAAGGGAGCGUAGACGGCCAUGCAAGCCAGGGGUGAAAGCCCGGGGCCCAACCCCGGGACUGCCCUUGGAACUGCAUGGCUGGAGUGCGGGAGGGGCAGGCGGAAUUCCUGGUGUAGCGGUGAAAUGCGUAGAUAUCAGGAGGAACACCGGCGGCGAAGGCGGCCUGCUGGACCGCGACUGACGUUGAGGCUCGAAAGCGUGGGGAGCGAACAGGAUUAGAUACCCGGGUAGUC
rnacentral:rRNA from 1 species